rnacentral:rRNA from 1 species
GUCCACGGCCGUAAACGAUGUCUACUUGGAGGUUGUGACCUAGAGUCGUGGCUUUCGGAGCUAACGCGUUAAGUAGACCGCCUGGGGAGUACGGUCGCAAGAUUAAAACUCAAAUGAAUUGACGGGGGCCCGCACAAGCGGUGGAGCAUGUGGUUUAAUUCGAUGCAACGCGAAGAACCUUACCUACUCUUGACAUCCAGAGAAUCUAGCGGAGACGCUGGAGUGCCUUCGGGAGCUCUGAGACAGGUGCUGCAUGGCUGUCGUCAGCUCGUGUUGUGAAAUGUUGGGUUAAGUCCCGCAACGAGCGCAACCCUUAUCCUUGUUUGCCAGCACGUAAUGGUGGGAACUCCAGGGAGACUGCCGGUGAUAAACCGGAGGAAGGUGGGGACGACGUCAAGUCAUCAUGGCCCUUACGAGUAGGGCUACACACGUGCUACAAUGGCGUAUACAGAGGGCAGCGAUACCGCGAGGUGGAGCGAAUCUCACAAAGUACGUCGUAGUCCGGAUUGGAGUCUGCAACUCGACUCCAUGAA